UUAAGCGACUAAGCGUACACGGUGGAUGCCCUGGCAGUCAGAGGCGAUGAAGGACGUGCUAAUCUGCGAAAAGCGUCGGUAAGGUGAUAUGAACCGUUAUAACCGGCGAUGUCCGAAUGGGGAAACCCAGUGCAAUUCGUUGCACUAUCGUUAACUGAAUACAUAGGUUAACGAGGCGAACCGGGGGAACUGAAACAUCUAAGUACCCCGAGGAAAAGAAAUCAACCGAGAUUCCCCCAGUAGCGGCGAGCGAACGGGGAGCAGCCCGGAGUCUGAAUCAGCUUGUGUGUUAGUGGAAGCGUCUGGAAAGUCGCAGGGUACAGGGUGAUACUCCCGUACACUAAAACACACAGGCUGUGAACUCGAAGAGUAGGGCGGGACACGUGGUAUCCUGUCUGAAUAUGGGGGGACCAUCCUCCAAGGCUAAAUACUCCUGACUGACCGAUAGUGAACCAGUACCGUGAGGGAAAGGCGAAAAGAACCCCGGCGAGGGGAGUGAAAAAGAACCUGAAACCGUGUACGUACAAGCAGUAGGAGCCCACUAGUUGGGUGACUGCGUACCUUUUGUAUAAUGGGUCAGCGACUUAUAUUCUGUAGCAAGGUUAACCGUAUAGGGGAGCCGCAGGGAAACCGAGUCUUAACUGGGCGUUAAGUUGCAGGGUAUAGACCCGAAACCCGGUGAUCUAGCCAUGGGCAGGUUGAAGGUUGGGUAACACUAACUGGAGGACCGAACCGACUAAUGUUGAAAAAUUAGCGGAUGACUUGUGGCUGGGGGUGAAAGGCCAAUCAAACCGGGAGAUAGCUGGUUCUCCCCGAAAGCUAUUUAGGUAGCGCCUCGUGAACUCAUCUUCGGGGGUAGAGCACUGUUUCGGCUAGGGGGUCAUCCCGACUUACCAACCCGAUGCAAACUACGAAUACCGAAGAAUGUUAUCACGGGAGACACACGGCGGGUGCUAACGUCCGUCGUGAAGAGGGAAACAACCCAGACCGCCAGCUAAGGUCCCAAAGUCAUGGUUAAGUGGGAAACGAUGUGGGAAGGCCCAGACAGCCAGGAUGUUGGCUUAGAAGCAGCCAUCAUUUAAAGAAAGCGUAAUAGCUCACUGGUCGAGUCGGCCUGCGCGGAAGAUGUAACGGGGCUAAACCAUGCACCGAAGCUGCGGCAGCGACGCUUAUGCGUUGUUGGGUAGGGGAGCGUUCUGUAAGCCGUUGAAGGUGGCCUGUGAGGGUUGCUGGAGGUAUCAGAAGUGCGAAUGCUGACAUAAGUAACGAUAAUGCGGGUGAAAAACCCGCACGCCGGAAGACCAAGGGUUCCUGUCCAACGUUAAUCGGGGCAGGGUGAGUCGACCCCUAAGGCGAGGCCGAAAGGCGUAGUCGAUGGGAAACAGGUUAAUAUUCCUGUACUUGGUGUUACUGCGAAGGGGGGACGGAGAAGGCUAUGUUGGCCGGGCGACGGUUGUCCCGGUUUAAGCAUGUAGGCGGAUGUUCCAGGUAAAUCCGGAACGUCACUAACGCUGAGGUGUGAUGACGAGGCACUACGGUGCUGAAGUGACAAAUGCCCUGCUUCCAGGAAAAGCCUCUAAGCAUCAGGUAACAUCAAAUCGUACCCCAAACCGACACAGGUGGUCAGGUAGAGAAUACCAAGGCGCUUGAGAGAACUCGGGUGAAGGAACUAGGCAAAAUGGUGCCGUAACUUCGGGAGAAGGCACGCUGAUGGUAAGUGAAGUGACUUGCUCAUGGAGCUGAAAUCAGUCGAAGAUACCAGCUGGCUGCAACUGUUUAUUAAAAACACAGCACUGUGCAAACACGAAAGUGGACGUAUACGGUGUGACGCCUGCCCGGUGCCGGAAGGUUAAUUGAUGGGGUUAUCCUCGCGGAGAAGCUCUUGAUCGAAGCCCCGGUAAACGGCGGCCGUAACUAUAACGGUCCUAAGGUAGCGAAAUUCCUUGUCGGGUAAGUUCCGACCUGCACGAAUGGCGUAAUGAUGGCCAGGCUGUCUCCACCCGAGACUCAGUGAAAUUGAACUCGCUGUGAAGAUGCAGUGUACCCGCGGCAAGACGGAAAGACCCCGUGAACCUUUACUAUAGCUUGACACUGAACACUGGUCCUUGAUGUGUAGGAUAGGUGGGAGGCUUUGAAGUGUGGACGCCAGUCUGCAUGGAGCCAUCCUUGAAAUACCACCCUUUAAUGGCUGGUGUUCUAACGUGGGCCCGUAAUCCGGGUUG
rnacentral:rRNA from 1 species